rnacentral:rRNA from 1 species
GAAUGGAUUAAGAGCUUGCUCUUAUGAAGUUAGCGGCGGACGGGUGAGUAACACGUGGGUAACCUGCCCAUAAGACUGGGAUAACUCCGGGAAACCGGGGCUAAUACCGGAUAACAUUUUGAACCGCAUGGUUCGAAAUUGAAAGGCGGCUUCGGCUGUCACUUAUGGAUGGACCCGCGUCGCAUUAGCUAGUUGGUGAGGUAACGGCUCACCAAGGCAACGAUGCGUAGCCGACCUGAGAGGGUGAUCGGCCACACUGGGACUGAGACACGGCCCAGACUCCUACGGGAGGCAGCAGUAGGGAAUCUUCCGCAAUGGACGAAAGUCUGACGGAGCAACGCCGCGUGAGUGAUGAAGGCUUUCGGGUCGUAAAACUCUGUUGUUAGGGAAGAACAAGUGCUAGUUGAAUAAGCUGGCACCUUGACGGUACCUAACCAGAAAGCCACGGCUAACUACGUGCCAGCAGCCGCGGUAAUACGUAGGUGGCAAGCGUUAUCCGGAAUUAUUGGGCGUAAAGCGCGCGCAGGUGGUUUCUUAAGUCUGAUGUGAAAGCCCACGGCUCAACCGUGGAGGGUCAUUGGAAACUGGGAGACUUGAGUGCAGAAGAGGAAAGUGGAAUUCCAUGUGUAGCGGUGAAAUGCGUAGAGAUAUGGAGGAACACCAGUGGCGAAGGCGACUUUCUGGUCUGUAACUGACACUGAGGCGCGAAAGCGUGGGGAGCAAACAGGAUUAGAUACCCUG